rnacentral:lncRNA from 1 species
CUUAGCUGCUGAUUAGGACCCUAGUAUGAGAGGGCUGGUUUUAGGCUCAAAACCUAGCUCUGUCGCUUCCCAGGUGUGUUUCCAGGAGCAAAGAGAGCCUGUUUUCUCCCCUGUCAAUGGGAAUAAGAAUACUCUUUCAUAGAUAAGAUUGUCACAAGGACUAAAUUAAUGUUUGUAAAGCAUUAAGCAGGCGCCUGGCACAUAGUAAGAACUCAAUAAAAGCAACUGAUAUCAUUAUUUUUUUUUCUUUUUAGGGCUGUACCUGCAGCGCAUGGAUGUUCCCAGGCUAAGGGUCGAAUCGGAGCUGCAGCUGCCAGCCACAGCCACAGCCACAGCCACAGCAACACUAGAGCCGAGCCACAUCUUCGAGCUACACCACAGCUCACGGCAGCACUGAAUCCUUAAUCCACUCAUCGAAACCAGGGAUCGAACCUGCAUUCUCAUGGAUACUAAUCUGGUUCUUAACCCGCUGAGUCACAAGGGGAAUUCUUCUUUUUCUUUUUUCUGUGUUUUUGUUUCAAUAAACUCCUCCCUGUGGCCUCCAAGGCCCCUGCCCACCUGUCCAGCCUCCUAUCUCCUGUGCCUCACCCCUUACCCACCACCAGAGGCCCUACAGCCUUGGGAGGUAAAGCUCACCCCCCUCCCAGACCUUCUGGUCUCCUCUCUCCCCUGAUGCAGUGUGCCUAGCGCUUAAAAUCAGGAUUCUGAUGUCCCAGUUGCAGCACUCAUCUGCUGUGUGCCCUUGGUUGUGUUCCUUACCCUCUCUGGGCUUCAGCCCCUUCCUCUGCGCUCUGGGUGUGUGAUGAUAGUCCAGUGGGCAGGUUGAGCCAGGAGUAAAUGCAAGUCCACGCAGCUGGCCGGCAGCAGCUCCUGACCCCCAGGGCGCACGCUCCAAGCCUACUGCGUACUUCACAUCUGUCGAGAUGCAGCACAGGUGCGGCGCCUCACAGAGUCCGUCUGUGGUACCCCGCGUCUCACUGAGGCAGAAUAACAAUUCGGGUGGUUAGAGUAGGAACAUGGGCUUUGAUUAAUCAAUCAGUUAAUUAGUUAACCCUGAUUAAUAUCCAUGAUUUAGAAUUUGUAAAAACAAAUCCAGAUAAAGAGGCCUUGCUUGUCGGAAGAUUAACGAUGGAAAAUACAUCUGGGGACGUUAACCUCUGAUCUGCACUUUGGGCGGUUAGAAGCGGAAUGUGAAGAAUGGCGACUCUAAGUCUAAGGGAAAGAAGAACAAAGGACCAUAAGGGAAGCUUGUGGAGCAUAUCCGGACUCUAAGCCCCUAUUGGACGAGGCCCGAUCUAGGUGCUGGGCCAGGCCAGUAAGGGAAAAGGAGGGAUGGCAGCACCCCACGCUGGCACCCCUGUCUUUAAGAGAUAAAGCCUCCUUGGAAGAUUAGAGGAUGGGAAUUCGUCCUCCCCCUCCCAGGGUCUGUGCUGGGAGCUGCCUGCCUUCCUAUAAUCAAGACUUUUGCUGGCUUGCCGCCUGUGCAUUCGCGAAGUUCAUUCUUUGGCUCCGGGAACAAGAAUCUGGAUUCCAGUAACAUCUUUCUGGUACCAUCAUCUCCCCUGCCCUGCUCUCACUUACCCAUCAAUAAGUUGGUCUGGAGAGAAUCGCCAGGGCCAGGCUGGGCUGGGCAUCACGGGCCGACUCACGGGAACCUGGCAGGGCCCUUCUCCAGGCAGCGGUGAAGACAAGAGUCCAGCCUGCAGAGUGGGAAGCCCCAGGAAUUUGUUCUCUAACAGUCUAGGGUUCCCUGGGGCCUCAAGGAGUCAGGCCUUAGCCAGCCGGCCCCCAGGUGGCCCUGUGCAGAAUUAAUUUUCUUUUUCUUUUUUUAAGGGCCGCACAUGUGGCACAUGGAAGUUCCCAGGCUAGGGGUCUAAUUGGAGCUUCGGCUGUCAGCCUACACCACAGCCACAGCAACACAGGAUCUGGGCCCUGUCUGCAAACUAUACCACAGCUCACAGCAAUGCUGGAUCCUUAACGCACUGAGGGGGGCCAGGGAUCGAACCUGCAUCCUCAUGGCUCCUAGCUGGGUUCCUCACCCCUGAGCCACAAUGGAACUCCUUAAUUUUCCAUCUCUGGGUCUGCCCCUGGGCUGAGCAAGAAUGGCCCGUGGCCUCUUGACUCAGGAAUGUAGAGUGUGUCUUACCACCACGAAGAAGGAGGGGCCAGGCCUCCAGGCCUCUGAGCUCUAGAAGCAUCUAAUUGUUUGCUAAAACCACAGCCUGGGAGAGGUCUGAGGGGAAAUGGGGCGUGGGGGGGGCAGAGAUGCUGGCUCUGAUUACCCUGCCGAGGAGGAGAGGCCUGUCCCUAAAAAGCAAAGUGGUCCAGGGGAUGGAUGGACAGAGGGUGGCCAGCAGGGAACCCCAACCUCCCACAGCCAUAGUGCUGGCCCUGGCUUGGGCCCCUGGGGGGGUGGGUGGGCUGGUCCUCCCCCUUCUGGGCACCUCAUCCACCCCGCCCAGUUCCAGCCCAGCCCGGCUUCCCAUCCCAGCUCCCCAUUGCAUCAUUUCUCUAUUGCUGGAACGGAACUUCUUUGUCAAAUGCCUCCUGUUAGGGUCCCCAUUGGCAGGACCUAGUCUCAGGUAAUUUGUGCAGAAACAAUUUACAGUGUGCAAGGCACUGCACUUACCCAGCAACCUGGGAUGGGGGAACAGUAUGACCCAUGCGAGCAGUGGUGGCUCCUUAUCUUCUGCUGUGUCCUGAGGGCCCAGCCUGGCUAUACCGAUGGUCAGAUGAGCAGGAUUCCGUCCAGCUUUUCCAGAACCUCUAAGCCCUCUCUCUGCCCCAGAGACCCCCUCCCAGCCUCCUGGGGCUCCUGGCUUCUCCCCCCAUUCUCAAGCUCCACUGCCUCCCAUCCCCCACUCCUGUGUUUGUUCAGCUGCCUGUGGGGGUCUGUACUCCACCUCCACCUCGCCCCCAGCCAAGGUCAGUGAGCCAGCCCUGCCAAGGGGCACCCGACCUUCUAGACUAUUCCUAGGCUGGCUGUCCUCUGCCCAUCAGGGCCUCCGUCUGAGUGGUCUCCCAAAUACAGACCUCAGAGGCCAAUUUCCCUCGGCGCCUGCAUCAUUCAGAGUUCAACCAAAGAAGUAGCACCAGUAAGCUAAGUAUAUGCUGUG